UACGGGGGGGGCAAGCGUUGUUCGGAAUUACUGGGCGUAAAGGGCUCGUAGGUGGCCAACUAAGUCAGACGUGAAAUCCCUCGGCUUAACCGGGGAACUGCGUCUGAUACUGGAUGGCUUGAGUUCGGGAGAGGGAUGCGGAAUUCCAGGUGUAGCGGUGAAAUGCGUAGAUAUCGGAAGGAACACCAGUGGCGAAGGCGACUUCCUGGACCAUUACUGACACUGAGGCGCGAAAGCGUGGGGAGCGAACAGG
rnacentral:rRNA from 1 species